rnacentral:lncRNA from 1 species
GUCAACUUCCCUUUGUGCUGUAGCGAAGGGCUCUUCUUUUAAUUGCUUUCAGCACGCAGCACAAGGAUGGCUUUGUGAACCCCACUUUCCUGCACUGCAGGGACAGGUUUGAUAAGAAUAUGUCAAAAGAUGUGGACUCUGCAUUUUACAAAUGCAGACAGAAACUGGUGAACUUACUGAACACACGCAUCUAGAACUGAGUCGUGGCAUUCAGUGACCAUCUCGAGCAAGCCUUUGCUGGGCAGAGGGCAAUCUGUAUUCCCCUCUGAAGUCCAGAAGAGCUUUUACGGCAGCAGAGACAUGACUGUGACGAGAGCCUGGUGAGCCUGCCCAGAGAUUGUGGAGGGUUGAGGAGCGUGUCCAAUCCCACCGGAGCCCAGCACCCAGGACAGCCUGAUGGAUUCUCUCCCCUUUGCGCAUUUAUGUUUCCUGCUUCUGACCGUUUCAUCUCCCUUUCUAAAUACUGCCACGUCCAGUGGUGACUCUGCUGAGGGGACAAAAGGCUCUUCCUUUAGCAGCACAAAAGUGACAGCCUACGACUGCAAGCAUUGUGGUGUCAGCGUAUGCGAGUUAUCCAAUUUCAGUUGCUGUACCAUAAUUGGUGAAACACAAGACGAGACGUUUUCAAAUGAAGUAAUUCAGCUGGUGACCAAUGAAACGCACAUCACUAUGUGUUUUCAGCAAGCAAAUACUUUUUCGGAACAAAUUUACGCCAUCAUCUGGGCAAAAGCUGGGGGAAUAGGAGAUUCAUGUGGCAUCCUGAAGGCUGAAGCUUCCCCAGAGAAUAGGGGGGAAACAGUCGUUUCAGAGCAGAAGAAGACUUGCUGUACAGCACAGGUCCAGCUCGCAGUGCCCAGCACCCCCUUAAAUUGCUACGCUGACAAGGACAAAAGCCCCCAGCUCGGCAGCCCUGAGGAUGGAAAUGAUGUCGGUGAAGAAAAUGAAUUUCUGGAACAUUCACCAGACUUUAUCGGUGCUUGGGAAGGAGAUUCUGUUAGCAUAAUUUGCUCUAUGAAAAAGUCAGAAAAUGAAGAGGGGACGUACUUGAGGACUAGAUACAACAAUGUGGUGUAUCUUUCCAGGCAGAACACUUCAUAUAUCCUUCCCGCUUUAGCUGAUCGCGUCAACUAUUCAAAUGAAGGAAAAAACCUGAGGAUAACUCUGCACAACGUCCAGCAAAAUGAUUCCAAUAUCUACCUUUGCACUACAUUUAUAAAAAAUAGCCAUUACGUAAAGCUGGAUGGGAAGAGAACUGUGCUAGUGGUGAGAGGUAAAAAUAAUGGAAUUGUUGAACAAUCACCACAUUCUCUCAGUGUUCAGCAAGACCAAUCUAUCAGCAUUACUUGCUCACUGAAAAGCUCACAUGAAGAAGAAGGGGUCUUCUUGCUCAGGACUCAUAUGAAAGCUGAUAUUUCUCAAAGCAAAAUAUUUCAACUAUCUUUCCUGCUUUUGCAAAUCGCUUGGAGUACUCAAAGCAAGAGAAGACAUUGGUGA